CUCAUCUUCUGAAGCCUUCAGUUAGACGCCAGUUCUUCCUAGACUGCAAUGAAAUAGCUGAUAUUUGCGAUAAUGCAGAGCGUAUCUUCUCAAGCGAACCAACUGUAUUACAGCUUAGAGCUCCUAUCAAAAUAUUUGGGGAUCUUAUGCGCCUUUUUGAUGAAUACGGUUAACAUUCCACAGCUGGAGACAUUUCAUACAUCGAUUACCUUUUCUUAGGGGACUAUGUUGAUAGGGGUCAACACAGUCUAGAAACAAUCUCCCUUCUCCUUGCAUUAAAGGUUGAGUACCAGCAUAAUGUACACCUGAUUCGAGGAAACCAUGAAGCUGCGGAUAUUAACGCUCUUUUUGGCUUCCGAGUAGAGUGUAUUGAGAGAAUGGUACUUGUUUCUAUGCCAUGUUUUGCUGUUCUCAUGAUGUUGUUGUUUGGCAGGUUUAACGCGAUGGAAUCUAGGUGUGGCGUAGAAUAAACCGUUUGUUUAAUUGGCUAUCUCUGGCUGCAUUGGUAGAGAAGAAAAUUAUAUGUAUGCAUGGGGGUAAUGGUCGUUCUAUAUAUCAUGUGGAGAAGAUUGAGAAUAUACAACGUCCAAUUACAAUGGACGCUGGCUCUAUUAUGCUCAUGGAUUUGUUAUGGAGCUGAACGCAAAUAGGCCAGCGACACCAACCAGAGGACGCCCACUACAAACGACAAAGGAGGUUCUCUGGCUUCGAUGUAAGGUUGAAGAAGAGGCACUCGUGCACAUCUGUCUCCUGGUGUUUCACCUCAUGUUUGUGUACAGAAAAGAUGAGGUCUGGAGAUAUCAGCGGCGGUGUAAAUUGAGAUGACAGAAAGGGUAGAAAAGUCAGUUUUGGUGGUGAUUUGGUAGUAGUGAUCUGUAGAGUUUAUUCUUUUGAGCUUUUUAGUCUCUUUCAAUUUUUACUCAAUCUGUUUUAUGUAUCUUUUUAUUUAUCUAGACAUUGGGGGCUUUUGUGUAUUUUUAUUGUUUUAUUAACGUUUGUGUUGAUAUUAUCAUGUUCAUGAGCGUUUUAUAAAUGAUGGACAUGGUACGAGAUUUCAUAAGGUUAUAGAGCUUGGACAUUGUAGGCAGCAAAUCGGAAUGGAUAAUAGAAAAAAUUAUCUCUCUUGAUUAUCCAUCUUUACCUAAAUAUCCACUAAAAUAGUAAUAUUAAAAAUUAUAUAAAAAUUGCAAAAAUUUACAUACAAAAUGUAAUGUAGAGGAUCAUUUUCCAUGACUUAAUUUCUCUUAAUUUAAAUGAAAUAAAAAUAUUUAUGGCAAAAACGUUGCGAAAUUGAAAUAGAAAUAAUUAAAUACAAAAGGGAUGCUUUUGUACUUGGGGUGAUGAGUUCCGUACGUUGGUGCCAACUUGGCACGGGCAAGGACUGAGUGUAACUUGCACCAUCCGCUAUCUACUUCCGCGUUCUAACCAUAAUCUCUUUCCCUUUUCAGUUUAAUAUAAUUUGUAAAGAUGUUGAUACAUAAAUCUCAUAAUCUUUAUGUCGCUUUUAGUUGAGAAAAAAAGAAAAUACUGAUGGAUAUGGUCAUUAUACGGAAAUGAAAAAGUUAGACAAGUAGUCAAAUAAGCUAAGUUAGGUCUAAAAUUGGUGUAGUAAUAUAAAUACGUGGGACUUCAUUCGUCAAGUACCAUAUGUGAUUGAGCAAAUGGACUUCCCUGGCUUCCAAAGAUAGAAAACGAUUGGAUAUAUAUGACAAAUUGAUUAUCUUUUUAUUGGAGCUUUUCAUGAAUUGUGAUUAGUCAUGUCAAUAGCAUAACCUAAUAGAAUGUUUGUUUCAUUAUACUUUGUCUCCCCACAAAUGUCAAUAAUUGGAAAUAAGAUUAUGUUUGAUUUGAUAACACAUUUGGAAUUUAUCAGUUUCACACUGCUUUCGAAAAAAUUGUAUAUAUAAACAAAAUAUAAUUUUAUAAAUGGGCAGGAUUUACAACUUUAGUUUAUGUAAGUAACUAAUUCAUAUGAACUUUAAACGUGAAAGUUAAAUUUAGUCUAAGUUUUACUUCUAAGUUCAAACUAUUUAUAACCAAUUUGAGAAAAAAAAUCUUAUAUAUCAUUUACUUUUUAUAAUAAAUUCUAAUCACUAGAGAAUUGACAGAUUUUUGGGAAGUUACUUUUUCAAGUUCUGAAGAAGUUUUUAUUUGUGUUAAAUGAAGAUAAAAAAAUACAAGGGUUACAUAUAUAGAGAUAUAUGUUAUGAAUAUUAUGGUGAUGCCAUUAUGGCAAGUCUUAAAUAUAUUUGUUCUCCAAGCUUUACUUGUUCUCCAAGUGGCUUUGUCCACAAGCUAUUGUAAUCCUAUAUAAAGGACUCAUUACUCAUGGAAUAAUAUACACCAAUUCCUCUCUUCUCUUGUCUUCUCUUCUUUAUUCAAAACACGUUAUCAGCACGAAACUCUAGCAAGCUAAUAGGUAUAGAUUUUAUUUUACAGUUUUAGUUUAUUUCUAUUCCUUCUUCAAACCAUGUUUAUUAUCAAUUCAUGGUUUGUAAAAAUGGAUUCAUACAGAGUAUGAGCUUAGGAGCUUUAGUCGACAAUAUUGAUCUACCCUUGUUUCAAGGAAAGAAAAUCGUUUGAUUUAAAAGAGAUCUUGUCGAUGUUUAUAAGCUAAUGCUCAAUAUGAUUAUAGCCUACACUCGCACGUAUUUUAUUUAUGUAUUAUCAUAUGUGAUGCUUAUAUUAUGUUAUGUCAUCACGCUAGCAUAUAUGUUUAUAUUGUUCAUAUUGCUUUCACUCGUUAGAAUACAUCUGUCACAUCUUUUAUAGGCAUGUACACGGCUUCAUAUAAUUAUUACAGUUGCAUAUAGGAUUAUGACUUUCAUAAAUUAAUUAAGCUGUGAAACUGUCUUGCCCUUAAUUCUAUUGGUAGCAUUCGUUCUUGUGUAUAAAUUAAUAUUCCAUAGUUUUAACUUUACGGCUGCGUACCAUACUUUUAUUAAUAUUUUAUGGCUGCAUCCCAUGUUUUUCUAAAAUAUGUCACACAUCUGAUUUUACUUUAGCAUAUCUGGCUUGAAUCGAUUAACACGACACACGAAUAUAUUUUGAACAUUAACACAUGUAGAUUGUUAACGAAUUAUUAGGAAGACGUGUAGGUUGUUAGUCUCAUGGAAUCUUAAAUCAAUAUUUCUUUAUAUGAUGUGUGAGAAACGUUAAUGCAUUGAUCAUAGAAUAUUGAUAUUGCCUUAUAAGUUGUUUAUAUUAAUCUAUAUGCAUAUUGUUAUUUACGGAUGCAUAUAAUUUAAUGUAAAAGCAUAGUAAUUGAUGUUCCUAAAGCAUAUAAUUUACGGCUGCAUAUAGACUUAGUUUUACAGCUGUGCAUUGUUCAAUGCUUAAAGAUUAUAUGGUUGACCUUCGAAAAUUUUGAUAAGAAUGAUUAGUAAUUCAAUUGUUCGUUGGUUUAUAUUAUGACUUUUGAGAAACAUUUAUGCAUUGAACAUAAAAUAUUGAUAUUGCCUUAUACAUUUUGUACGCAAAUAUAUGAAUAUAUAGCUUAUUUACUUUUUAAAAGAUCUAUACGUUUUGGAAAACAAUCCAAAGAAAGGUAUAAUCCCAAAAGUGAUUACCUAAUUGUGUAUCUUGCAACUAAAGAUUACCAGACCUGAAGUCUGUAAAUAAAUCUCAACUAUGUUGGAUGUUGAGUUUAAAAGUAAAAUUUCUCGAAGAAGUUUUUAAUGAUGCAUAUAUUAUAUAAGUAAUGUUGUCCAGCAGACAAACGAUUGAGAAAAAAAAGGGAGGUUUAUAACUAUAUUUUAUUUCUUUGAGACUGAGAAAAAUAAUGAGCUUUUAAAAUUAGAUGUUAAAUCAUGUCUAGUUGAUUAUAAUCAUUCUCCUGAAGAGAAUAUGACAUUUUAUAUUGAGAAAGAAAAUCAACACAAAUAGUAUUGUUCAAGAAAAUGAACAUAAAAGUGGUUGUAGACGUGAAUGUGGAUAUAAAUAAGGUCAAGAUCCAAAGAGUUUUUUUUUUUUAGAACUCAUACUCUCACUUGAAGUUGAGAAAUAAAGAUGGUAAUAAAUAAAUACCCAAGAGUUUCUAUUUAAAACUCAUUCUCUCACUUGAAGUUGAAGUUGAGAAAAUAAAGAUGAUAAGAGAUAUGAUUCAAUCACCCAAAUAUGAGAGAAAAUUAUUGUGAGUACAAUACAUGGUAGUAAAACCUUAUAGAAUGUUCAGGAAGAAGAUAUAUAUGAUGCUCCAGAAGAGUACAUAAUAUUACUGCACAUAAGAAUGCAAUUUAAAAUCCUUAUUGCGUCAUAUUCUUAUAAGUCUAAGAAGUUAAAAGGAUUUGAGAAAGAAUACAUGACCCAUCUAGGGUAUGUUGUUGAUUCAAAAUGAGACUCAUUCGAGAUUGAUAAACAUGUAGUUUUAUCAUCUCGAGGAGAAGAGUUAAUGAAUCUCACAUUUAAUGAUAAGUCAAACAUCCAAAAGAUUAUGUUUGCACUAAACUAAGAUUGAUGAAUCAUUCUCAAAGGGAAUCUGUGGGAUUUUGACACUUAUGUUGAGACAGUAAGCAAAAGAAAUGCUAUAUAUAUUUCAAUUCAGAAAUAUUUCUCAAGACAGUAUAAGUAUUUUAGAGAAAGUAUAUACAGCCUCUUAUAGAUUAUACUACACAAAGAUUUAGUGUAAUGGAGAUAAAUACAGAGUAUACCAGAAGUUUAUAAAAUACUUGGCAUGAAUCAGUUAGACCAUUUUGGUUCAGUAGUGAUGUGAAAAGAUACAUAAAGAUUUAUGAAUAUUCAUUGAAGAACCAGAAGAUUCUUAUGAAUGAUUUCACAUAUAUUUCUUUCUCAUAAGAUAAAAUGAAAAUACGGUUUUCACCAGCCAAAUAAAAUUAUUGGCAUAAUGGAGAUGUUGGUGGACUGAUCACCCACUAUGCAUCUUUAUGAUAUUGGUGAAUUCACGUCUUAAAGUCUUUGACGACUAUAGAAAAAUCACUAGGAUAAGUGAUAAACAUUUUGAGCAACACUAAUUCGCAUCAAGCCAACAAGUAAUUAAUGGUUCUCCCCGUCAUUGGUAGUGGGUCAGAAACCAACCAUUUUCAAUCUAAGAAUGUUGGAUGUGUGAUAUACAUUCCAAUUGCUCCACCACAGAGCUUUAAGUAAGAUGUGUUUUCAAAUGAAGUUGGAAUACAUGUUGGAUAUGAAUCUCCAUUGAUUCUUAAGAAUCUAGAGCCAUCCCCGAAGGAUAUAAGUAAGACUCGAUUUGAAUGCCAAAGUUGAAUUAGUAUUUCCAACAUAAGAGGGAGAAAAUAAACAGCUCGAAAAGAAUAUAAGUUCGAAUGAAUUAUCAUUGAUCCUCAGACUAAAGAUAAGUCCAAAAGAUAAUUCAAUUAUAUAGCUUAGUAAAUCAGUUGUCAGACACAUUUACUGACCCAAAUAAAUAUAGUGAUCAAAUCACAUAUACCAGCUGUAAAUGCUCCAAAUAAGAAUUGAUGUUCCAGAAGAACAAUAUCAAACUGCCAGUUACACCUGAAGCGUAGUAAACAUAUUGGUUCCAAAGAUUAAAAAAAAAAAAAAAAAAAUCCUCGUAAAUGAAAGGAGCAUAAAGUAAUGGUCAAGAGGAAUAAGAGUUUGUGAAUGAUCUCCAGAAGAGACAUUAAACAUGACUGAAAGAAUUCAGGUACCUGAGACAAUGAAAAGAUCUCAAUAAGUGAUGUCAUGUAUGAAAUAAAAUGGAACUGAUAAGCAAAUCGACGUCAAUGAUAUUUAUGCCAAAAAAAUGGCAGUUGAUAUGAUGAAUGAGAAAGAGGAUCAUGAAAGAAAGUCUAUUGAAAAGUGUACACAAAUAAAUGAUUGGCCAAGUCAGAAAGAAACAAUAGACAAAAUACAAACUCUUGUGAAAGAGACAAGUAUUUGGACCAGUAGUCCAUACACUAGAAAGUGUAAAACAAGUGGGAAAUGAUUUGUUGCUCAUUGAAAGAUCAAUAUGGAAUUGAUUGUGAAGAGACAUAGUCUCAUGUGGUAGAUGCAACUACUUUCAAGUUUCUUAUUAUUCUGAAAAUAAAUGAAGAAUUUGAAUUAUACGACCCACUGGAAACUGGUAAUCCCUAAGAGAUAAAAUCCCUAAAAUAUAUAAUCCCUGAAGGAUUGUUUAUAUCAAAGUCAUGUUCCCGGGAACUCUAGCUAUUCGAUCGAAAUAUGUUUUAUGGGAUAUAUGAAAUAUUUGAAGUAAAUCAAUACAUCUUUAUAUUUGUCAAGUGAUUAUAGAUCAAUAGAAUCAUUGAUUUGAAUAUCAAUAAAACUCCUGAAGAGUUAUAGAAAAUUGUAUUUUGGAAGAAAGCUCUUGACAAGACAAAUAUUGUCUUUAUGUAUUCCAAAUUGGAGAUCUAAAAUUAGAUGUUAUCAUAAAGAUCCGUGAAGGAUUUUAUUUAAGAUGCUCAUAUAUGUUUGGUCUUGAAGUACCAUAUUUAAAGUGUUAUUGAGCAAAUUACUAAUCUUUUUCAUAACCAAAAGAUGUAAUUUCAUAUGACAAGAAAGAAAGUCAUAAUAGUUACGAAUGAGUUAUUCGUAUGUACGAAACGAAUGUCUAGACGAUUGUAUGUAAGAAGUUUGGUUUGAAGUCCAAAUAGACUAAGAAAAUAUUGUCUAUAUCAAAUAAGAAUUGUGGACCAGAAAUCUAUAGACCUUGAAUACUCUAAUGGAAAGAGUAUUACAAUAUUCUCAAUUUCAAAAGGAGAUUUCUCUUAUUGGAAUGCAUAUCCUGAAGAUAUUGCUUUCCGGAGAAGAAAUGUGAAAUAUGUGUGGUUGUACUCUUUUCCCUCAUCAUGGUUUUUAUCCCACUGGGUUUUUCCAUGACAAGGUUUUAACGAGGCAACAAAGAACACAUAAAAGAUAGACACCCAAAGAGAAUGUUACAAUUUGGGAGAUGAAAAUCUAUCAUUGUUCUAUAGUUUUGGAGAUAAAAAGAAUCCAAGAAAUGAUCAGAUCAUGAAGACUCAUGCACUACUGAAGAAUGGCGAAGUUCGUUUCCUACAAGUUCGUUCGAGUAAAUAUUUGGCUGUUUCAUUCACCAAGACGCUACCCCUGCUACUUUCAAGAAGCUCACUCAUCUUAUUGAACUACGUUGUCUCAAAGAUCUCGACGUAUGUACACAUGAGGGGAAGUCAUUGCACGCUGCAGUCUUUUUCCUUUAACCAUGGUUUUUUCCUAUUGGGUUUUUCUGGUGAGGUUUUUAACGAGGCAGCAUCUUACGCGCAUAAUAGACAUCAAGGGGAAGUGUUAUGAAUAUUAUGGUGAUGCCAUUAUGGCAAGUCUUAAAUAUAUUUGUUCUCCAAGC